rnacentral:rRNA from 1 species
CCUACGGGGUGCUGCAGUGAGGAAUAUUGGUCAAUGGGCGCGAGCCUGAACCAGCCAAGUAGCGUGAAGGAUGACUGCCCUACGGGUUGUAAACUUCUUUUAUAAAGGAAUAAAGUGAGGCACGUGUGCCUUUUUGUAUGUACUUUAUGAAUAAGGAUCGGCGAACUCCGUGCCAGCAGCCGCGGUAAUACGGAGGAUCCGAGCGUUAUCCGGAUUUAUUGGGUUUAAAGGGAGCGUAGGUGGGUUGUUAAGUCAGUUGUGAAAGUUUGCGGCUCAACCGUAAAAUUGCAAUUGAUACUGGCAGGCGUGAGUACAGUUGAGGUAGGCGGAAUUCGUGGUGUAGCAGUGAAAUGCUUAGAUAUCGCGAAGAACUCCGGUUGCGAAGGCAGCUUACUAGACUGCCACUGACAUUGAUGCUCGAAAGUGUGGGGAUCAAACAGGAUUAGAUACCCUUGUAGUC